rnacentral:pre_miRNA from 1 species
AUCACCUGGACAUCUUGCUAACAGGCAGAUUUUAAUCCAGUAGGUCAUGGUUGGGGCCUGAGAUUCUGCAUUUAUAACAAGCUCUCAGGUGAUGCUGU